rnacentral:rRNA from 1 species
AAAGGUAGCAUAAUCAUUAGGAGUUUAAUUGGAACCUGGAAUGAAGGGUCGGACAAAGGAAGAGCUGUCUACAAAAUUAAAUUUGAAGUUUACUUUUAAGUGAAAAGGCUUAAAUAAAUCAAAGGGACGAUAAGACCCUAUAAAGCUUUAUAUAUAAUUUAGGUUUGAUUGAUUUAAAUUAUAAAAGUUAAAUUUAAUUAUUUUAUUUUGUUGGGGUGAUGUGAGUAUAAUUAAAGUUAACUGCUUAAGAGAAAUCCUUAUAUAAAAGGUUUAUUUAAUAAAUGAUCCUUUCUGAAGAUUAAAAGACUAAGUUACUUUAGGGAUAACAGCGUUAUUUCUUUUAAGAGUUCAUAUCGAAAAAGAAGAUUGCGACCUCGAUGUUGAAUUAAAAUAUCUAUAUAAUGCAGCCGUUAUAAAAGAGGGUCUGUUCGACCUUUAAAUU